ncrna:unclassified sequences S10-Clostridia ribosomal protein leader
UGAUAGCGUUGAAGCGUGAGGUUGCCACAUUAUCCAGUGAUGUGGGUUUUCCGUGGAGCGAAUGUCAGUAGGCUGCAUAGCGGCCACAAAAUCAUGACGACAA